rnacentral:rRNA from 1 species
UUCGAUCUGGCUCAGAUUGAACUGGCGGGAUGCUUUACAUACAAGUCGAACGGCAGCACGGACUUCGGUCUGGUGGCGAGUGGCGAACGGGUGAGUAAUGUAUCGGAACGUGCCUAGUAGCGAAGGGAUAACUACGCGGCGCUAAUACCACAUACGCCCUUCGAGGAAAGCGGGGACCUUCGGGCCUCGCACUAUUAGAGCGGCCGAUAUCGGAUUAGCUAGUUGGUGGGGUAACGGCUCACCAAGGCGACGAUCCGUAGCUGGUUUGAAGGACGACCAGCCACACUGGGACUGAGACGGCCCAGACUCCUACAGGAGGCAGCAGUGGGGAAUUUUGGACAAUGGAAGCCACAGUCCAGCCAUCCCGCGUGUGCGAUGAAGGCCAUUCGGGUUGCUCGCACUUUUGGCAGGAAAGAAACGGCACAGGAUAAUACCCCGUGCAACUGACAGUACCUGCAGAAUAAGCACCGGCUAACUACGUACCAACAGCCGCGGUAAUACGUAAGUGCAAGCGUUAAUCUGGAAUUACUGGGCGUAAAGCGUGCGCGGUUCGGAAAGAAGAUGUGAAAUCCAGAGCUUAACUUUGGAACUGCAUUUUUAACUACCGAGCUAGAGUGUGUCAGAGGGAGGUGGAAUUCCGCGUGUAGCAGUGAAAUGCGUAGAUAUGCGGGCCGCAAAUGGCAGCCUCCUGGGAUAACGGCAGCUCAUGCACGAAAGCGUGAGGCAAACAGGAUUAGAUACCCUGGCUAGUCCACGCCCUAAACGAUGUCAGCUAGCUGUUGGGGCCUUCCGGGCCUUGGUAGCGCAGCGUGAAGUUGACCCGCCUGGGGAGUACGGUCGCAAGAUUAAAACUCAAAGGAAUUGACGAGGUACACAAGCGGUGGAUGAUGUGGAUUAAUUCGAUGCAACGCAAAAACCUUACUACCCUUGACAUGUCUGGAAUCCCAGUUUGGGAGUGCUCGCAAAGAGAACCGGAACACAGGUGCUGCAUGGCUGUCGACUUCGUGUCGUGAGAUGUUGGGGGUCGUCAGGCAGGCAUAACCCUUGUCAUUAGUUGCUACGAAAGGGCACUCUAAUGAGACUGCCGGUGACAAACCGGAGGAAGGUGGGGAUGACGUCAGAGUCAUGGCCCUUAUGGUAGGGCUUCACACGUCAAUGGUCGGGACAGAGGGUCGCCAAUUUGUCCAGAAACCCGAUCGUAGUCCGGAUCGCAGUCUGCAACUCGACUGCACGUGAAGUCGGAAUCGCUGGUAAUCGCGGAUCAGCAUGUCGCGGUGAAUACGUUCCCGGGUCUUGUACACACCGCCCGUCACACCAUAGAAUUAGGUUUUACCAGAAGUAGUUAGCCUAACCGUAAGGAGGGCGAUUACCACGGUAGGAUUCAUGACUGGGGGUGGAAGUCGUAACAAGGUAG